rnacentral:rRNA from 2 species
UGAAAGCAUCUAAGCACGAAACUUGCCCCGAGAUGAGUUCUCCCUGAGACUUAGAGUCUCCUGAAGGAACGUUGAAGACGACGACGUUGAUAGGCCGGGUGUGUAAGCGCAGCGAUGCGUUGAGCUAACCGGUACUAAUGAACCGUGAGGCUUAACCUU